UACGAAGGGGGCUAGCGUUGUUCGGAAUCACUGGGCGUAAAGCGCACGUAGGCGGAUUUUUAAGUCAGGGGUGAAAUCCCGAGGCUCAACCUCGGAACUGCCUUUGAUACUGGAGAUCUUGAGUCCGGAAGAGGUAAGUGGAACUGCGAGUGUAGAGGUGAAAUUCGUAGAUAUUCGCAAGGACACCAGUGGCGAAGGCGGCUUACUGGUCCGGAACUGACGCUGAGGUGCGAAAGCGUGGGGAGCAAACAGG
rnacentral:rRNA from 1 species